rnacentral:rRNA from 1 species
ACAACUCCCAAACCCCUGUGAACAUACCUAUACGUUGCCUCGGCGGAUCAGCCCGCGCCCCGUAAAACGGGACGGCCCGCCCGAGGACCCCUAAACUCUGUUUUUAGUGGAACUUCUGAGUAAAACAAACAAAUAAAUCAAAACUUUCAACAACGGAUCUCUUGGUUCUGGCAUCGAUGAAGAACGCAGCAAAAUGCGAUAAGUAAUGUGAAUUGCAGAAUUCAGUGAAUCAUCGAAUCUUUGAACGCACAUUGCGCCCGCCAGUAUUCUGGCGGGCAUGCCUGUUCGAGCGUCAUUUCAACCCUCAAGCUCAGCUUGGUGUUGGGACUCGCGGUAACCCGCGUUCCCCAAAUCGAUUGGCGGUCACGUCGAGCUUCCAUAGCGUAGUAAUCAUACACCUCGUUACUGGUAAUCGUCGCGGCCACGCCGUAAAACCCCAACUUCUGACUCUUGACCUCGGAA